CACUGCUUGGUGGUGAGAAGAAACUCCCACACCUUUGGUCACAGAAGUCUUCUGUGUUUAUUGUUCUAGUGUGAGAACAGAGGAGAAGCCUGGUUUGAGUGAGUUUUUCCUGAAGCAAAAGGGAAGAGCUUAAUUUCAAAAGGAAUAUCUUGAAAGACGCAUCAACUCACCAUUAGAAAACAUGAAACGACAGAUUAUAUCCUAAGAUUGUGUGAACCUCUUACCUGGAAACCCGUACAAUUGCUUUAUCUACCAAUCCUAAACUAUUAUAUCUUGAUCUUUACUCAAUCCUAAUUACACACCCACAUUGAAAGACCUAUCUUAAUUCAGACUUCAAAAUCUUACAAACGUCCAAGUCCCUCCUUUGAAAUGCUACUAAGACUGCAGUAAGAAUACAUAGCAUGCAGUGACUGAGAGGAAGAGAGAUACUAACACUUGAAGUAAUCCAGUCUAUCAAUAGGAGAUGGACUGCUUUGAUUUAAAGCGAUUUACAAAAGGAUUUGGAUACCUCAUCUCUCCUGUUUCGCCAAGGUCUUGACUCAUCGCUGCAGGUUGUAUAAUUAGUCUCAUUAAUCUAGCAAAUGAUGGCAAAAUGCUUGGUAAUGAUGUCUAACUGGGGUUCCUUUCCAAGGAACCUU
rnacentral:lncRNA from 1 species